CGGACGAGUGAGUAACGCGUGGGUAACCUGCCUCACACUGGGGGAUAACAGUUAGAAAUAGCUGCUAAUACCGCAUAAGCGCACAGUUCCGCAUGGAACGGUGUGAAAAACUCCGGUGGUGUGAGAUGGACCCGCGUCUGAUUAGCCAGUUGGCGGGGUAACGGCCCACCAAAGCGACGAUCAGUAGCCGGCCUGAGAGGGUGAACGGCCACAUUGGGACUGAGACACGGCCCAA
rnacentral:rRNA from 1 species